AUUGAACGCUGGCGUCAUGCCUUACACAUGCAAGUCGAACGGCAGCACGGGUGCUUGCACCUGGUGGCGAGUGGCGAACGGGUGAGUAAUACAUCGGAACGUACCUUAUCGGGGGGGAUAACGCAGCGAAAGUUGCGCUAAUACCGCAUACGCACUGAGGGGGAAAGCGGGGGACCGUAAGGCCUCGCGCGCUUAGACGGGCCGAUGUCUGGUUAGCUUGUUGGCGAGGUAAAAGCUCACCAAGGCGAUGAUCAGUAGCUGGUCUGAGCGGACGAUCAGCAACACUGGGACUGGGACACGGCCCAGACUCCUACGGGAGGCAGCAGUGGGGAAUUUUGGACAAUGGGGGCAACCCUGAUCCAGCAAUGCCGCGUGAGUGAAGAAGGCCUUCGGGUUGUAAAGCUCUUUUGUCAGGGAAGAAACAGCAGCUCUAACACGGUCCGGGAAUGACGGUACCUGAAGAAUAAGCACCGGCUAACUACGUGCCAGCCGCCGCGGUAA
rnacentral:rRNA from 1 species